UUAAAUAUUCACUUUUGCUAUUAUUCUGUUACCGUUCGUACAUUGUUCUCUUCGUUUGUUUAAUAUACGUUUCGUAUUUCAUAAUUUAGUAAUUGUUAUAAUCAGCGAUGUUUUGUGAACAAUUUAAUUUAUUCGUAUCUCUCGACUCGUUCAUUUGGUUAAUUACCGGUAGUUUGCGCGUAUAACGAGGUUACAAAACAAAAUUUGAGCUGGGUUAUUGCUUCGUUUUAACAUAAUUGGUUCCGCAUAUAUAUUUAUCUCGUAGUUUUGAUAUCCUUUGGUUGGUUAAUUGCGCGAAUGUUCUAAAAGAAUUCCACGCCGACGCCAUGUUGGUUAACGAAUACUACGAUGGCCUUCCAUAGAUUUUCGAUUUAUUUUCAAUGAAGGCAGUGUCGGAUUGAUUGUUCACGAUAACAGUCUUCGUGGCAUCGUCUUCAAUGAUUUCUUCUGGCCUACUCCAGUAUCGAUGACAACGUUCUGCGCAUAUAAUGGUGAGCCACGUCGUUUCUGUUCCUCCGAUCACUCAAUCAUGUCAUAGGAUGAAAGGUCCAAAUCGACACGGAUGACUGGUUGUGUUACGUAGAAUUGUUGGCGAGCAUAAUGACCACAAGUAUUUAUCAUACUCAUCAUUUGAGAUAGAUAAAAGAGGUGCAUAAAGAAGAUUCUAUGCCAUUAGAAUGUCGAAGAGAAGGUUAGGAAGAUGAAAAGUUGGAAAGAAAGGGGAAGGAAGGGGAGGAAGGCGUUAGAGGAAGUAAGAAAGGAAGGAGUCAGAAGGGAAAUAAAGGAAAAGCAAAGGACAUACGUAAUUAAUUCAGUCCAAUUAUGUAUUUCAGAAACCAUAUUAAGAUGAGUGAAAGAGUAUUCGAAUUUUGUAUAAUAUUCUAUACAAUAUCCUAUUACUUUGUUGUGAUUACGAAUUUAUAUAAGUAAGUUUUGAAAAUCAUUCAAUCUUUAAUAGGUAGGUUAAAUUACAUUUAUACAUUUAAGCGGAAUUUUUUAAACUCAAAUUUAAUUUACAGUUAGACAUAUGCUC
rnacentral:lncRNA from 1 species